rnacentral:lncRNA from 1 species
ACGUCAUUAUAGAAAUAAUCACAUACUAUCAUAUGACAUAAAAUAGAAAUUGAUGUGGUAUGAAAUAACUGAUGUGGAAUCUUUAUUAAUUUUUUUUCUUUUUUUUAGCUUAGGUUUCCACUUUCCACUUCAUCCUUUAUUCUUUAUCACUAUCUUCUCAAAAAGUUCUCCAUUUUCUAUACUACUAUCGAUACCUCUACCGUCACUAACUCCAAAGCCCCCAUCAUGACCACCACCACCACCAAGACCAUAUUUACUGCCACCACCACUGCCCCUUAUGACCUUUGAAAAAUAAAUCAUUUUCAUAGAGUAUGUUCUAAAAAGAUAAAUCCCUCUUACAUAAUAGCAUGUUGAAGUUAUAAAACUCUUUUAACUAUGCUAAGUCUAUGCAUAUGUUUGUUUUCUCCCUAAACAUCUAGAAAAUGAUGUACAAAUGAUGGAGGUUUUGGAGAAGAUAGUGGUGGCAGAAAAUAGAGAAAAAUAGAAAAUAGAAAUCUUAGCUAUAAGAGAAGGAAAAGAUGGAAAAAAAGUUUAAACCUCGGUUAAAAAAGGAGGAAAAA